AACGAACGCUGGCGGCAUGCCUAACACAUGCAAGUCGAACGAGACCUUCGGGUCUUGUGGCGCACGGGUGCGUAACGCGUGGGAACCUGCCCUUAGGGUCGGAAUAACUCUCCGACAGGGGUGCUAAUACCGGAUAAUGUCUUCGGACCAAAGAUUUAUCGCCUUUGGAUGGGCCGGCGUUGGAUUAGCUAGUUGGUAGGGUAAAAGCCUACCAAGGCGACGAUCCAUAGCUGGUCAGAGAGGAUGAUCAGCCACACUGGGACUGAGACACGGCCCAGACUCCUACGGGAGGCAGCAGUGGGGAAUAGUGGACAAGGGGCGAAAGCCUGAUCCAGCAAUGCCGCGUAAAUGAUGAAGGUCUGAGGGUUGUAAAGCUCUUAUACCCGGGAUGAUAAUGACAGUACCGGGAGAAUAAGCUCCGGCUAACUCCGUG
rnacentral:rRNA from 1 species